rnacentral:misc_RNA from 1 species
UCUCCGUUGGUGAACCAGCGGAGGGAUCAUUACAAGAGUCGCGAGACUCCAACCCACCGUGAACAUACCGUACGUUGCCUCGGCGGGCGGCCCCAGGGCGGGGCCCCCGGCCUGCCUAGCAGGUGCCCGCCGAGGUCACUAGGACUCUAUUCUUACCGUGUCCUCUGAGCUACGUGUUUAAUAAAGUCAAAACUUUCAACAACGGAUCUCUUGGUUCUG